rnacentral:rRNA from 1 species
GAACUUGCCUCUUGGUCUGGGACAACUGUUGGAAACGACAGCUAAUACCGGAUAUUAUGAGAUUCUCGCAUGGGAAACUUAUGAAAGCUAUAUGCGCCAAGAGAGAGCCUUGCGUUCCAUUAGCUAGUUGGUGGGGUAACGGCCCACCAAGGCGACGAUGGAUAGCCGGCCUGAGAGGGUGAACGGCCACAAGGGGACUGAGACACGGCCCUUACUCCUACGGGAGGCAGCAGUGGGGAAUAUUGGACAAUGGGCCACAAGCCUGAUCCAGCAAUUCUGUGUGCACGAUGAAGGUCUUCGGAUUGUAAAGUGCUUUCAGUUGGGAAGAAGAAAGUGACGGUACCAACAGAAGAAGCGACGGCUAAAUACGUGCCAGCAGCCGCGGUAAUACGUAUGUCGCAAGCGUUAUCCGGAUUUAUUGGGCGUAAAGCGCGUCUAGGCGGAAAAAUAAGUCUGAUGUUAAAAUGCGGGGCUCAACUCCGUAUUGCGUUGGAAACUGUUUUUCUAGAGUACUGGAGAGGUGGGCGGAACUACAAGUGUAGAGGUGAAAUUCGUAGAUAUUUGUAGGAAUGCCGAUGGAGAAGUCAGCUCACUGGACAGAUACUGACGCUAAAGCGCGAAA